rnacentral:rRNA from 1 species
GACGAACCGUGCGAACGUUAUUCGGAAUCACUGGGCUUAAAAGGGUGCGUAGGCUGCGAGGAGGGUGGGGGUGUGAAAUCCCUCGGCCUAACCGAGGAAUUGCGCUCCCAAACCGCCUUGCUGGACGUGAGACAGAGGUGAGCGGAACUGAAUGGUGGAGCGGUGAAUGCGUUGAUAUACGAUAGGAACUCCGGGUGGCGAAGGCGGCAUGAC